GCUUCCUAUGCAACGCUGCUUCCCUUGGGGGUAAUCAGGUACUACACGUAAUAGCAGGGCCUCUGGCAGAGCGCGGUGGCUCAUGCCUGUCAUCCCAGCACUUUGGGAGGCCAAGGUGGGCGGAUCACCUGAGGUCAGAAGUUGCAAGACCCAUCUCUACAAAAAUACAAAAAUUAGCCAGGCAUGAUGGCAGGUGCCUGUAAUCCCAGCUACCUGGGAGACUGAGGCGGGAG
rnacentral:lncRNA from 1 species